rnacentral:rRNA from 1 species
ACUAAGCGUACAAGGUGGAUGCCUUGGCAAUCAGAGGCGAAGAAGGACGUGCUAAUCUGCGAAAAGCUUGGAUGAGUCGAUAAGAGGCGUUUAAUCCAAGAUAUCCGAAUGGGGAAACCCAGUAGAUGAAGAAUCUACUAUCAACAAGUGAAUUCAUAGCUUGUUGAGGCAAACCGGGAGAACUGAAACAUCUAAGUACCCCGAGGAAAAGAAAUCAACCGAGAUUUCGUCAGUAGCGGCGAGCGAAAGCGAAAGAGCCAGUAAGUGAUAGCAGUAUAGUUAGGAGAAUGUGUUGGGAAGCACAAUCAAAGAGGGUGAUAAUCCCGUAUCUAAAAACCAUAUUGUGGUACUAAGCUAACGAGAAGUAGGGCGGGACACGUGAUAUCCUGUUUGAAGAAGGGGGGACCAUCCUCCAAGGCUAAAUACUCCUGAUUGACCGAUAGUGAACCAGUACUGUGAAGGAAAGGCGAAAAGAACCCCGGUGAGGGGAGUGAAAUAGAACCUGAAACCUUGUACGUACAAGCAGUGGGAGCCUGAAAGGGUGACUGCGUACCUUUUGUAUAAUGGGUCAGCGACUUAUAUUUUGUAGCGAGGUUAACUGAAUAAGGGAGCCGAAGGGAAACCGAGUCUUAACUGGGCGAGUAGUUGCAAGGUAUAGACCCGAAACCCGGUGAUCUAGCCAUGGGCAGGUUGAAGGUUGGGUAACACUAACUGGAGGACCGAACCGACUAAUGUUGAAAAAUUAGCGGAUGACUUGUGGCUGGGGGUGAAAGGCCAAUCAAACCGGGAGAUAGCUGGUUCUCCCCGAAAUCUAUUUAGGUAGAGCCUUGAGGUGACACCUUUGGGGGUAGAGCACUGUUUCGGCUAGGGGUCCAUCCCGGAUUACCAACCCGAUGCAAACUACGAAUACCAAAGAGUGAUACUCAGGAGACACACGGCGGGUGCUAACGUCCGUCGUGGAGAGGGAAACAACCCAGACCGCCAGCUAAGGUCCCCAAGUCUAUAUUAAGUGGGAAACGAAGUGGGAAGGCUUAGACAGCUAGGAUGUUGGCUUAGAAGCAGCCAUCAUUUAAAGAAAGCGUAAUAGCUCACUAGUCGAGUCGGCCUGCGCGGAAGAUGUAACGGGGCUCAAAUAUAGCACCGAAGCUGCGGCAUCAGGCGUAUCACUAAUACGCCUUACGAUUAACAAGCUAGAAUAGCGCGAAGCGUCAUGAAAGGUUGUUCAAGCGACCCGAACGUUGAGUCGGGUAUAUUUGAGUGAGGAUGAUUAGUGAUACGCCUGUUGGGUAGGGGAGCGUUGUGUAAGCGGAAGAAGGUUCAUCGAGAGGUGGGCUGGACGUAUCACAAGUGCGAAUGCUGACAUAAGUAACGAUAAAACGGGUGAAAAACCCGUUCGCCGGAAGACCAAGGGUUCCUGUCCAACGUUAAUCGGGGCAGGGUGAGUCGGCUCCUAAGGCGAGGCUGAAAAGCGUAGUCGAUGGGAAACAGGUUAAUAUUCCUGUACUUGGUAAAGCUGCGAUGUGGGGACGGAGUAGGUUAGGUUAUCGCACUGUUGGAUAUGUGCGUUUAAGUUGGUAGGUGGGAAGUUUAGGCAAAUCCGGACUUCCUUAACACAGAGAGAUGAUGACGAGGCUCUACGGAGCUGAAGUAACUGAUACCACACUUCCAGGAAAAGCCACUAAGCGAAAGGCUUUACUAAACCGUACUAAAAACCGACACAGGUGGUCAGGUAGAGAAUACUCAGGCGCUUGAGAGAACUCGGGUGAAGGAACUAGGCAAAAUAGCACCGUAACUUCGGGAGAAGGUGCGCCGGCGUAGAUUGUAGUCCCUAGCGGGCGAAGGUUGAACCGGUCGAAGAUACCAGCUGGCUGCAACUGUUUAUUAAAAACACAGCACUCUGCAAACACGAAAGUGGACGUAUAGGGUGUGAUGCCUGCCCGGUGCUGGAAGGUUAAUUGAUGGUGUCAUCGAAAGAGAAGCACCUGAUCGAAGCCCCAGUAAACGGCGGCCGUAACUAUAACGGUCCUAAGGUAGCGAAAUUCCUUGUCGGGUAAGUUCCGACCUGCACGAAUGGCAUAAUGAUGGCCAGGCUGUCUCCACCCGAGACUCAGUGAAAUUGAAAUCGCCGUGAAGAUGCGGUGUACCCGCGGCUAGACGGAAAGACCCCGUGAACCUUUACUAUAGCUUGACACUGAACAUUGAAUUUUGAUGUGUAGGAUAGGUGGGAGACUUAGAAGCAGUCACGCCAGUGAUUGUGGAGUCAUCCUUGAAAUACCACCCUUUAACGUUUGAUGUUCUAACGAAGAUUGCGGAACGCGGUCUCGGACAGUGUCUGGUGGGUAGUUUGACUGGGGCGGUCUCCUCCCAAAGCGUAACGGAGGAGCACGAAGGUUUGCUAAUCACGGUCGGACAUCGUGAGGUUAGUGCAAUGGUAUAAGCAAGCUUAACUGCGAGACAGACAAGUCGAGCAGGUACGAAAGUAGGUCAUAGUGAUCCGGUGGUUCUGAAUGGAAGGGCCAUCGCUCAACGGAUAAAAGGUACUCCGGGGAUAACAGGCUGAUACCGCCCAAGAGUUCAUAUCGACGGCGGUGUUUGGCACCUCGAUGUCGGCUCAUCACAUCCUGGGGCUGAAGUAGGUCCCAAGGGUAUGGCUGUUCGCCAUUUAAAGUGGUACGCGAGCUGGGUUUAGAACGUCGUGAGACAGUUCGGUCCCUAUCUGCCGUGGGCGUAGGAUGAUUGAUUGGGGCUGCUCCUAGUACGAGAGGACCGGAGUGGACGCAUCACUGGUGUUCCAGUUGUCUCGCCAGAGGCAUUGCUGGGUAGCUAAAUGCGGAAGAGAUAAGUGCUGAAAGCAUCUAAGCACGAAACUUGCCAAGAGAUGAGUCAUCCCUGACUUUAAGUCAGUAAGGGUUGUUGUAGACUACGACGUAGAUAGGUCUGGUGUGUAAGUGUAGUGAUACAUUGAGCUAACAGAUACUAAUUGCCCGAGAGGCUUAACU